CCUACGGGUGGCAGCAGUGAGGAAUAUUGGUCAAUGGGCGGAAGCCUGAACCAGCCAAGUCGCGUGAGGGAAUAAGGCCCUACGGGUCGUAAACCUCUUUUGCCGGGGAGCAAGGGCGGGGACGUGUCCCGGCCCGGAGAGUACCCGGAGAAAAAGCAACGGCUAACUCCGUGCCAGCAGCCGCGGUAAUACGGAGGAUGCGAGGGUUAUCGGGAUUUGUUGGGUUUAAAGGGUGCGUAGGCGGGCUUUUAAGGCAGGGGUAAAAAUUCGGGCUCAACCCCGUCCGGCCGUUGAAACUGGGGGCCUUGAGUGGGCUAGAAGAAGGCGGAAUGCGUGGUGUAGCGGUGAAAUGCAUAGAUAUCACGCAGAACCCCGAUUGCGAAGGCAGCCUACCGGCGCUCAACUGACGCUCAUGCACGAAAGUGUGGGUAUCGAACAGGAUUAGAUACCCCUGUAGUC
rnacentral:rRNA from 1 species